ensembl:lncRNA
ACGACUGUCCCGCCACGGCCGUCCGCUCAAAGCUCACACUGCAACACCCCCGCGCUCUUCCCGGCGCAUCUCUCUCGGAGCGCGGGCCGACGACUCUUCCGUCCCGACCCUUGUGAUCGCCAUCAGCUCGUCAACUCCGGCCGACGAUGAGCGAUGCUCAUAGUGAACCCUGCUGACGCGACCAAACACUGCUGCUUGCCAGAAUUCUUCUUUUUUUAAACCAAAAGCGUUGGUGUGUGUGUGUGUGUCCUCCGAGUGCACCCUUUAAAGAAAUAACAAAGGAGAAGACGUACCAAACCCCGCUCCCCACGGAGCACAUCUCUCCGCCCCAGACACCCAAUUUAGAGCACCCCGCCACCGAGACGGCGUCGAUCCGACCACGGUAACAAGCCGGCCUUAACGAGACCUUUCAGAUGGUGCUUUGAGACCGGGGUGCCAGCAGGGGUAAUGGGAAACGAUGGAGAAGAAACGUUGUGUGUGUGUGUGUGUGUGUUUGUGUGUGUGUUUGUUGUCUGGGUUUUGAUGAACUGUUCUCAAGACGAAAAGGGCGAUGGACGACGCAAAGUGUCUGAAUAUCCUUUGUAUUUUAUUUUAUUUGGACCCACUCGAUAGAAGAUUGUGAAUGUAAAGAAGAAAGUUGGAGAGAAGCCAGGCUAAACGGAGGUGUGGCUGAUGCAACCCUUUGUAACGUUGGCUAAUUAUUUGACUUAAACAGGCCAACAAAGGCUGCUCUCUUUCUGCCCCCCUCUAGUCCCACUCUCCCAUUCUCCCUCUUCCCCUCGUCCUCCCUUUUUGCUUUCCUUUUCUUUCUCAGGUAUAUCUCACGUCGCCGUCCCCUGGUGUGAGUGACGCCACGUGUCCUAUCGCCUCGGCCGUGAUUUCCCCCCUGACCCGUUUGUCUCUUUUUAUCUCCUCGGCCCCCCCCCUCCUCUCCGUUGUGUCCUCAUUGCAUCGUACAGCGGAGCGCACCAAAGAGCGACGUCAGGGGAAGGAGAAGAACUCCACUGCUCCCCAGAGUCUUAAAGUCUUAACCGCCUCUGCCCUCCGUCCAGCUCAGUCGACCCCCGGUCGCAAUCCCAUCCCGUAGCCCGGGGAGAGGGAGAGGGAGAGAGCGAGGGGUUAGGGACUCCACAUAGCUAGGGCCCCAUGCCUGCUGGUAGGAGUGGCUGCCUGAGUGUUUCAGUGUAGAAAUAUUCAGUCACUCGUGAAUUCAGACUCGUGCGCAGUAAAGAAAACGCACUUGCUCUUGAGGUAUUCUUUUUUUGUGUUUCAUUUUCUUACCUUACUAAUUCUUAUUUUUUUGGCCUAGUUUCACGUGUAAUUGCAGGGGGAGAUCAGUCCUGCUGAUAAUUGCGCUAUAUCUCGUCGGCCCGGUUGGGCUUUCUUACAGGCUGGUGUGUGUGUGUGUGUAGGGAAACCCACAGCGGGGUGCGACACGGACAGACGCCUCACACGAAAUAUCACCCCCCCCGUGGUGAGGGACUUUUGGGCUCUGGUUGCAAUCUCGUCUCCCCAGAUGUGAGUCGGAGGGAGGGAGGGAGGGAGUGAAGGGUAGCUGGGCGGAGCGGAUUGGGAGAGAGCAACAAGAGAGAGAGUUUGGAGGACGUCGUGUGCCUCUAGGGGGCGACCAUCUUCAGUGUCUCCCCCUCAUCCCGCUCUUUCUUACCCUCCCCCUGCUCUCUUCACCCCCACCUGCUUGUCGUUCUGUGUCUUUUCUGUCUGCUCGUUAUGUCUUGUACUCCUUCUCUCGUUCUGUCCUCUCUUCCCUUCCAGUCGUCAUCUUAUCUCUGUGUCCCUUCCUUUACCCCCUCCCUCUUUCCCGCUCUCUUGCGCUCCUUUUGUCACCUCAAAUUGGCCUAAGCUUUUCCCCUGUCAUUAUUUGGCUUUCGUCUUGAUCUGCUAGUCGCUCUCUUGACCAGCCUAUUACCGUUCUAUCCAGUGGUAGAGUGUCGUUGCUGCCUUGCUCGAUAGCGUUGAGAACCCCCUUUCUAAGUCAGCGAUGUUGACCGAUACACACCGACACAUACACACACAUAAAAAAGGAUGUUGUUGGCUUAUGUUGAUCCACUUAUUGUAACUGGCUGAAUGGACCGUUGGCUACUGUGUUUUAGUGCGUUUAGUUGCAACCAUGCUGGGUGUAAGCUAGCUUGUAACCAGGUUGUAUUUCUCCUGGGUGCGCUACGAUGAGUUCGGCUGACCAGUGGCUGGAUCGGACUGCUUAUGUAAUGUCGGUACUUUUUCAAAAUGAUGGUUUUUAAAAGCGUGUGCGUGUUUUAUUACUGAGAAUUUUUAAUCAGGUGGUCGACGUUAUCUCGGAAGGCUACUGGCACUUUGUGUGUGUGUGUGUGUGUGUGUGUGUGCGUGCGUGCGUGCGUGCGUGCGUGCGUGUAAAAAAAAAUGCAAAAAAAACAUUUCCAAAGCAAGUUGUUUUAGCUGGACAGAAUUUGAAAUGUGAG